ensembl:lncRNA
UUUGUCCCCCUCGUUUGUGGAGAUCUCCCUCCAUGAAUCAGAGGCCAUCCGGCGUCCUCAUAGUCCGCCAAUGACGGCUUGUACAAGCGCUCAUAUUUAAAAGCUCUUCAGUCUGAUCCGUUCUCUCGUAAACGUUCUUCCUUUUAAUAACGGCCGUAUUGUGCUGUGAAAACGGAGACGUGAGACUCCGUAAAGGACGUAGUCAGAGACCAAUCACAGCCUGCUGCUGCAGGACGCUGCAAAGCUUUACACGCUAGUCUACAAAAAUGGGUCGACGCACGCGAGGAGGAGUGAAAAGCCUGCAGACACAGGACCUCCAUCAUCAUCUUCUGCUGGACCACGACAUCCACCGGUCACACUCCUGAAGACAGAGAGUGUGGCCGGUGCCGGGAAGCUCAGAGGGAUCGGCGUGGAGGGUCCGGUGAGACAGCGGCCCCUCGUGGUACCACACGGCUUGUGGGC